rnacentral:rRNA from 1 species
CCUACGGGAGGCAGCAGCGAGGAAUAUUGGACAAUGGGUGAGAGCCUGAUCCAGCCAUCCCGCGUGAAGGACGACGGCCCUAUGGGUUGUAAACUUCUUUUGUAUAGGGAUAAACCUAGAUACGUGUAUCUAGCUGAAGGUACUAUACGAAUAAGCACCGGCUAACUCCGUGCCAGCAGCCGCGGUAAU